rnacentral:rRNA from 1 species
CCAGACUCCUACGGGAGGCAGCAGUGGGGGAUAUUGCACAAUGGGGGGAACCCUGAUGCAGCGACGCCGCGUGGGGGAAGACGGUCUUCGGCAUGUAAACCCCUGUCGUCGGGGAAGAAUCGAGACGGUACCCGACGAAGAAGCUCCGGCUAACUACGUGCCAGCAGCCGCGGUAAUACGUAGGGGGCGAGCGUUUUCCGGAUUCACUGGGUGUAAAGGGAGCGUAGACGGGCAUGCAAGCCAGAGGUGUAAGCCCGCGGGCCAAACCCGGGACUGCGUUUGGAACUGCAGGGCUGGAGUGCGGGAGGGGCAGGCGGAAUUCCUGGUGUAGCGGUGAAAUGCGUAGAUAUCAGGAGGAACACCGGUGGCGAAGGCGGCCUGCUGGGCCGCGACUGACGUUGAGGCUCGAAAGCGUGGGGAGCGAACAGGAUUAGAUACCCCCGUAU